rnacentral:rRNA from 1 species
UACGGAGGGUGCAAGCGUUAUCCGGAUUCACUGGGUUUAAAGGGUGCGUAGGUGGGCAGGUAAGUCAGUGGUGAAAUCUCCGAGCUUAACUCGGAAACUGCCGUUGAUACUAUUUGUCUUGAAUUUUGUUGAGGUAGGCGGAAUAAGUCAUGUAGCGGUGAAAUGCAUAGAUAUGACUUAGAACACCAAUUGCGAAGGCAGCUUACUAAACAAAUAUUGACGCUGAGGCACGAAAGCGUGGGGAUCAAACAGG